AAUCUAUGGUUUCGGAACGCACCCGCUAUGGGUGCAUACAUACGUGAACAUACACACACACGUCCAUACAUACAUGGCGUGCAUGGCUGAGGUCGCCUUAGGUAUUCGCGGCUUGGUAUGGCUUAGUACGUAUUGUACAUAUCUACCGGAACAGGGAUAUAAACAGGAAGAAAAGUAGCAGUUUCUUGUGCGAAUGAAGAUCCGAUUCAACCAUGGCCAUGAAUGGGAAUUUUUUCAAACUUUGUAACGUAAUGGGACCUUAUAGGAAUCUUUUGUCAUCAAGAUUCAUUUUGCCCAGCUAUCAGCCAGUAGCAACGUUGAAGCACUCUUUAGAAGAGCGACUAGGAUUAUCACCGAAACCAAAACGUCCAUUAUCUGUAUAUUUCACUUUCAUGCAACAACUGCGGCCUAUGUUGAGGCAAAAGUAUCCCGAUCUCAAAUCGCCGGAAAUAGUAGCAAUGAUUGCAAAAGAAUACAAAAAAAUGGAUCCUAGUCAAAAAUCAAAAUUGGAAGAAGAACGUAAAAACCUUUAUAAGGAAUACAGCAAAGCAAUGAUAAAUUACGAAAAUUCGAUCACAGAUGAACAGAAGGAACUGAUUAAAAAAGCUAAACGCGAUGAAGCGGAGAAAAAGCUCAAACGAAUGGAAAGAAAAUCACGAUCACAGCAAUUAAAAAGUUUGGGAAUCCCAACAAGACCACCAUCGGCCUAUAGUUUAUUUGCUCGUGCAGCAGCUGAAAAAAGAGGAUCUAUGAAGAUUAGGGACUGGCAGACAAAUAUGUUGCAAAAGUGGAAGGCUUUGUCUGAUGAAGAAAGGCAGGUAUAUGAAACUGAAGCAGCUAAAUCUAUGAAAGAGUUUAAGGAAAGUAUGAGAUUAUGGAAAGAGAGAAUGAAAGAGAGGGGUGAAGAUGAAUCAUUGUCACUUGCGAAGAAGCUCGGUUCAGGUAAAACAGGAUCGAAGCAUUGUUCAGAAUAGCAUGAUGCGUGUCUCACCCGAUCACACGACUUUGUCAGUAAGGUCAAUGGCAUGUAUUCUGGGCCAAAAUCGGAAAUAACACCCCAGGGCUGGGACACGAGCCUGCAUAAUAGUAUAGAGCAGAGUGAGAGCUUGGCGAAUGAUUCAUGUAUUGAAAAGAAAAAUGUAGUGAAGAAUUUUAACAGUGUAAGUAAUAGCACGCACGGCGAUGAAGCUACGAAAACAACAUUUUUAUCGUGCACACAAACCGACAUGGAACAGAAAACAUUGAUACAAAGUGACAAUUUCUCACAAAGUGCCACAACAAGUCAUAAAAAGUGCAUUGAUGUGGAAAUCACGGAAGAUGAAACUCAGAAGAAAACAAUACCGCAGCAGCAAACUUUAUUGGAAGAAUUAAAAACUGAUGGAAAAUCAAUUCAUCCUCAGGGAGGAAGUGAAAAUGAGCCUAGUACAAAUGAUAUUCAACUCAAACCUAUCGAUCCAGAUCAUACUUCACAUCAAAUAAAUGCCCGUCAUACGUUAGAAGCCCUUAAGUCUAAGCUCACCAGUUUGAUGAACAAACUCACGACUCAUCAAUAUGGCUGACGGCGCUGAUGCCCCUUCCGUCUUUCGCUUCAGCCCCGUUGGGAGAGGCUCCGUCCAUAAGUCCAUGGCAGAAGAUAAUUUCAUUUGGGUCAAGCGAAGGCUCAGACACAAAAUAUCAGUAUAGGUAUAGAGCUUAACUAACAAUGGAGUUGCAAUUAUCCUAUUCACGCUGCUGUUUUGUUGUUGGUGGAAUAAAUUCUAGUGGUAUCUAAGUGCCGUGAAUCGUUAAACAACCGAAAUGCUAUUCAGUCAUUUCCGUGGCAGCCAUGUGACGUGAGUGUAUGAACAAGCCUGUCCAGCUGUCACGGAAUAUGUUAUAACAAUUUCUUUCGUUACUUUCAAUUUAACUGUGAUCUGAAACUGCUAUUUCACCCACAACAAUUUUCAAUAAGGAAUCAUUUCGUUACAAAACAUUCGAAAAGUAGUCUCUCCUCUUCGACAAUUCUUCCCGUGAAAUUCACUUGUACGUGUGCACAUGGGGUAGUGUCAGAAUAAUAAAAGAUUUUACUAUGUUUGACUCAAAGAGUAUGUUAGUAAUAUGUCUAUUUAAUGUAUAUUAACUUGGUCGUUAGCAAUUUUUUUUCUAAUUCAUACAGUUUUUCUACCAUUCUCCGCAUGUAAUUAAGUUACAUAUUAUAUACAGCUUCAUUCUAAGAUAUUCCCAACCUUGACAAUGAGCAUAGCUUUUUUUUCAAAUACUCUUCUGUAAAUAAUAUAGUGGAUGCCCUGUUAAUCUUAACUAAUAAGUAACUAGUCAUUUGAGUAAAUGUUGUAUCUGGAAAAUAUACACUUUCUGUUAAGGCAGUAUUCUACUUUACAACUGAAAAAAAAUUUUUUUUUACUUUUUUCAAAAGUAAAUAUAUUGACGAAUGUUAGCUCAAAAUUUUCGAAAGAUUCAGCCCAGUUUUGAAAAUAAUGGAAAUUAUGGGCAUGAAAAUCGGCCAAACCACCAUACAGUUCAACAAUAUGCGCAACCAACAGCGCAUCGUUCGAGAGAACCACCGCUCGAUUGAGGCUUCUAAGGAGAGCAGAACUCAAAAAAAGCAGGCUAGAUUAGAUGACCAUACUCACCUGGAACAAGUUGAAGGUAUAUUAUAUGGCCCAGGUAUCGCUGAUGGAGCGUAAGAUCAUUUUUUCUACGAUUUGUCACUUACAAAAACUUUAAACGCGUUUUUCUCGAAACAACGUUUUCAAGUAUCGUGGUCGUGAAAACUCAAAAACUAUUGGACCGAUCCUUAUGAAAUUUUGAACACAUAUUCUAUAUGUUUGUAUCGACAGACCUAACUACAAUCAACUUCAAAUUUUAAUUGUAACUAUAUUUUUAUUGCAAAAAAAGACGCAAAAAAAAAACGCAAUUCUUUUUUUUCUUUCGUAUUUUAGCCGUCAUUUUGUUGAUUUUGCACAUACAUAAAAUAUUCUACUUAGAUCGGUUCCUGGAGUCAUACUGAACAUAAAACUAUCUGAUUUUUUUGGUUCAAACCAUCCGUCGGCAAGAUUUUACGACGACGGCAACCUUCCCUACUUUUUGAGGUGUUGGUUUUGACCAUACUUUACAUGCAUAAAAAAUGUAUAAAAUAAAUGAAGAAAGUUUUUUUUAUGUACUUCAAGAGUGCAUUUAUUAAACAUUUCACACCCUACAUCCAUAUCUUCAAUAGUAUUCUCAGAAACAAUUCACAAAAAUAGAGUUUUUUUCAAAGAUGUAAAGUAGAAUACUGCCUUAAACAGGUUCCAUCGACCGACUAUUUAUAUAAUUUCUAAGUAACUAGACCCUUGUAACUUGUUUCAAAGGUUAAAAGUUUUGCUAAUCCUUAAAAUGAUUUAAAAUUAAAAGGUAUAUAAACCAAGUAACUUACUUACAUAUUAGUAUCAAUUAUCCUGAGGAAGGUCCAUAAAAAUGUGGAGAAAAACUGCAUUUUUAAAAAUAUUUUCUCCACGACUAGAAGUAUAUGUACUUGAACUGUUGGUCUCCGCUGUUCACCCAUAAUGAAACAAGAAAAUUAAAUUCUUAUGUACGAGCUUUUACAGAAGACACAAAAAAUCGCGUUUUUAAAUAAAAAUAAUUAUUUAAAAAGAAGAAAGUUGAAUUAAGAAAUAUGAAACUACAAAAAACCUAUCCAAAAAUUCGCAUAUAAAAUCUGAAUCCCUUAGCUGUAUCACUUGUGAGUAAUUAAUAUUAACGUAACCAAAUGCGUUAGCUUGUAGGUUCUGCCGGGCAUACUAUGGCCAGUGAGGAAGACUAACUGCACUUGAAACCAUUCCUCUCUAUUCCCUGCAGCGACUAAACUAGUGAACCUCCUCCACAUCUUAAGAACAAUUUGUAUAGGGGAGAGGCGAGCAAAAUGGGCUGCCUGUACAAUCAAAUGCAAAAAAUAUC